UAGGGAUAAAAUACCUUAUAAUUAUAAAGAAACAUAGUUUUGCUUUAAGAUGUUAAUUACCCUCGUGUUGUAUUAGUUAAAGUAAAAAUUUAACUAGCUUAAUACACGUAGUCGUAACUGAAAGGUUGAUCGACCACAAUGUGGCCUGAACAAAGCCCAUGACUUGUUUACAGCAGUGAGGAAUAUUGGUCAAUAGCCUAACGGCUGAACCAGCAACUUGGAAGAAUGUAUAGCAAGAGCUAAUUGUAUUAACAAAAUAAAUAGUUUUUACAGUCUCGAUUUAUUUGAAUAAAAUUCUAGGUAGAUUUAUGAUAAUGACAUUAUCUAUCUAUGUGUCUUGACCAAAUUACGUGCCAGCAGUCGCGGCAAUACGUAAGAGACUAGUGUUAUUCAUCUUUAAUUGGUUUAAAGCGUACCUAGACGGUAAUUAUAGCCUAAAUCAGGUCUUUUUUACUAGAGUUAUAUGUAAGGGUGUAUUAAAGUACUGUUGAGUUUAGAAAUGAAAUUCUUUGACACCAGAUAAUUGGCACAGGUAUAGGCGAAAGCAUCACUUUAUGUAAUAACUGACGUUGAGGGACGAAGGCUAUGUGUCGCGAACAGGAUUUGAUACCCUAGUAGUCUUAGCAGAAAAUUAUGAAUGUCAUAGGUUAGAUUUAUUUGGUCUAUAAAUGAAAGUGUAAGCAUUCCACCUCAAGAGUAAUUUGGCACCAU
rnacentral:rRNA from 1 species